rnacentral:rRNA from 1 species
AGUGAACGCUGGCGGUAGGCCUAACACAUGCAAGUCGAACGGCAGCACAGGAGAGCUUGCUCUCUGGGUGGCGAGUGGCGGACGGGUGAGGAAUACAUCGGAAUCUACUCUGUCGUGAGGGAUAACGUAGGGAAACUUACGCUAAUACCGCAUACGACCUACGGGUGAAAGCAGGGGAUCUUCGGACCUCGCGCGAUUGAAUGAGCCGAUGUCGGAUUAGCUAGUUGGCGGGGUAAAGGCCCACCAAGGCGACGAUCCGUAGCUGGUCGGAGAGGAUGAUCAGCCACACUGGAACUGAGAGACGGUCCAGACUCCUACGGGAGGCAGCAGUGGGGAAUAUUGGACAAUGGGCGCAAGCCUGAUCCAGCCAUACCGCGUGGGUGAAGAAGGCCUUCGGGUUGUAAAGCCCUUUUGUUGGGAAAGAAAUCCAGCUGGCUAAUACCCGGUUGGGAUGACGGUACCCAAAGAAUAAGCACCGGCUAACUUCGUGCCAGCCGCCGCAGUAA